rnacentral:lncRNA from 1 species
GUUUCCGAGUCGGGCGCGCGCCGGCAGGGUCUCCAUUGCCUGCUGCGCACCCGGACUAGCGGCUGCCCUCGGCCUCCUCGCCUUGGACGCGGACGACUCCCGGGCCCCCAAGGGCUCCUUGCGGAAGUUCCUGGAGCACUUCUCCGGGGCCGGCAAGGCCAUCGGCGUGCUGACCAGCGGGGGACAUGCUCAAGGCCGAUGUUGGCAGGAAUUGUCACGUUUAAAAUGGGCCACGCUGCACCCCGUGGUUCCUGAGCCCUGAGCUGAAGUACAUCCUGCUGCAUCGCCUGUGUCGCUUUUGCUGUGUCACUUAGAGCUCCUGCCCUGGGAAACUUCCUCGCGCCUGACGAGCACCACAGUUUGCAGCAAGACCUGUCCAAAGCGUGGACUGCGAGAGCCCCGCUGUGGUCCUGUCCUCUCCAUGUUGGGAGCGACUUUGUGGGGUUUGUCGGCCCUUCUCUCAGGUGUCCUGUGUCUCAUGGAUCAGCCGACGAGCCCCGUCUGGAGGAGCACUCUGCAAAACGUGCCGGCCACCCAGAUCUCCUAGCGCAGAGUGAGGCCACAUCUGCAGACUUGACCGCACAGAGUCCCGAGGCAUUCGGCAAGAAGGGGAGUGGGAUGUGUGUGAGAUCCCACUGCGGAAGCCGGCUCUGCUCCGUACUCUGCGU